rnacentral:rRNA from 1 species
UAGGGAAUCUUCCGCAAUGGGCGAAAGCCUGACGGAGCAACGCCGCGGGAGUGAUGAAGGUCUUCGGAUCGUAAAACUCUGUUAUUAGGGAAGAACAAAUGUGUAAGUAACUAUGCACGUCUUGACGGUACCUAAUCAGAAAGCCACGGCUAACUACGUGCCAGCAGCCGCGGUAAUACGUAGGUGGCAAGCGUUAUCCGGAAUUAUUGGGCGUAAAGCGCGCGUAGGCGGUUUUUUAAGUCUGAUGUGAAAGCCCACGGCUCAACCGUGGAGGGUCAUUGGCAACUGGAAAACUUGAGUGCAGAAGAGGAAAGUGGAAUUCCAUGUGUAGCGGUGAAAUGCGCAGAGAUAUGGCGGAACACCAGUGGCGAAGGCGACUUUCUGGUCUGUAACUGACGCUGAUGUGCGAAAGCGUGGGGAUCAAACAGG